GUAUCUGAGGAAUAAGCAUCGGCUAACUCUGUGCCACCAGCCGCGGUAAGACAGAGGAUGCAAGCGUUAUCCGGAAUGAUUGGGCGUAAAGCGUCUGUAGGUGGCCUGACAAGUCUUCUGUCAAAGAUCAGGGCUUAACCCUGGAAAGGCAGGAGAAACUAUCAGGCUAGAGAUCGGUAGAGGCAGAGGGAAUUCCCAGUGAAACGGUGAAAUGUGUAGAUAUUGGGAGGAACACCAACGGCGAAAGCACUCUGCUGGGCCGAGACUGACACUGAGAGACGAAAGCGAGGGGAGCAAAUGGGAUUAGAUACCCCAAUAGUCCUCGCCGUAAACGAUGGAUACUACGUGUUGGAUGUUUUCAAAGACUUCAGUACCGUACCUAACGCGUGAAGUAUCCCGCCUGGGGAGUAUGCUCGCAAGAGUGAAACUCAAA
rnacentral:rRNA from 1 species